rnacentral:tRNA from 1 species
UGCAUCGGCCAGGAAUCGAACCUGGGCCUCCCGCGUGGCAGGCGAGCAUUCUACCACUGAACCAUCGAUGC